UACGAAGGGGGCUAGCGUUGUUCGGAAUUACUGGGCGUAACGCGCACGUAGGCGGAGUAGUAAGUCAGGGGUGAAAUCCCGGGGCUCAACCUCGGAACUGACUUUGAUACUGCUGAUCUCGAGUCCGGAAGAGGUGAGUGGAAUUCCUAGUGUAGAGGUGAAAUUCGUAGAUAUUAGGAAGAACACCAGUGGCGAAGGCGGCUCACUGGUCCGGUACUGACGCUGAGGUGCGAGAGCGUGGGGAGCAAACGGG
rnacentral:rRNA from 1 species